GGAAUUUGUGUCAAAAAGGUAAAUAGGAAAAUAGCCUCAAGUAAUCAAUGAAGGUGUUAAGGAUUAUAAAAUAUAUAUACAACAAUAAAAGAUGAUUGGCAUUUACCUAGUAAUCAACUAGCUAGUUAAAUAUACAUGUCUGGAACAGUUGUAUAAACAUCGACUUUAUAAAUUGUGAUGCUGUUGAAAACAUGGAACAGACUUAGUUUAUACUGAACCUCAAAG
rnacentral:lncRNA from 1 species